rnacentral:rRNA from 1 species
GACUACCGGGGUAUCUAAUCCUGUUUGCUACCCACGCUUUCGCGUCUCAGCGUCAGUAUAGGGCCAGAAAGUCGCCUUCGCCACCGGUGUUCCUCCUGAUAUCUACGAAUUUCACCUCUACACCAGGAAUUCCACUUUCCUCUCCCUUACUCCAGCUAGACAGUUUCAAAUGCACUUCCUGGGUUAAGCCCAGGGAUUUCACAUCUGACUUGUCCAGCCGCCUACACGCUCUUUACGCCCAAUGAUUCCGAACAACGCUUGCACCCCCCGUAUUACCGCGGCUGCUGGCACGGAGUUAGCCGGUGCUUCCUCUAGCGGUACCGUCAAGCAUGAUGGAUAUUAGCCAUCGUGCAUUUCUUUCCGCUCGACAGAGCUUUACAAUCCGAAAACCUUCCUCACUCACGCGGCGUUGCUGCGUCAGGGUUGCCCCCAUUGCGCAAUAUUCCUCACUGCAGCCCCCCGUAGG